AGUGAACGCUGGCGGUAGGCCUAACACAUGCAAGUCGAACGGCAGCACAGUAAGAGCUUGCUCUUACGGGUGGCGAGUGGCGGACGGGUGAGGAAUACAUCGGAAUCUACUCUUUCGUGGGGGAUAACGUAGGGAAACUUACGCUAAUACCGCAUACGACCUACGGGUGAAAGCAGGGGAUCUUCGGACCUUGCGCGAUUGAAUUAGCCGAUGUCGGAUUAGCUAGUUGGCGGGGUAAAGGCCCACCAAGGCGACGAUCCGUAGCUGGUCUGAGAGGAUGAUCAGCCACACUGGAACUGAGACACGGUCCAGACUCCUACGGGAGGCAGCAGUGGGGAAUAUUGGACAAAGGGCGCAAGCCUGAUCCAGCCAUACCGCGUGGGUGAAGAAGGCCUUCGGGUUGUAAAGCCCUUUUGUUGGGAAAGAAAAGCAGCAGGUUAAUACCCCGCUGUUCUGACGGUACCCAAAGAAUAAGCACCGGCUAACUUCGUG
rnacentral:rRNA from 1 species